rnacentral:lncRNA from 1 species
GUGUGUCAGUUCACACUUUUACUUUAACUCCAGCAAAGAGUGAUUUGGAAAAGUCACGUACUUAAUCACUGAAGCUAACUGAAAUCCGUGAGCGGUGUAAAAGAACAUGACAUUUGUUUGAGUAUCAGUUAUAUUUUAUACUUGUGUAUUAAACUUUUCAUCGAAGGGAAAAAUACUUUAUCCAACUUUGAAUUCUAUUUAAGAACAAUUUCUGGAACUCUCCAGGAUUAAAAGGAAAAUAGGAAACAUCGUCAGUGAACCAGGUUGGAAUUCCCACUUUAAAGAAGAGAGACUUCCCUGUGACAUAUUUUAGGGGUGUGUGUGGAGGGUGUUUAAUUGUAAAGAAAAGUCUCUCUGCACCUGUAUGUUUUUCCUGACUACUGGUGAUGAUGACAGGCAUUCUCACAGUGUAGUUAUGUACAGAAAGAAGGCCCUGGCCAUAGGGAAAUCACAGUCCUGUUUAUAUGUAAGAGAAAAAAAAAUGUUUCCAUUUGAAAUAGAUGUACUUCUCCCUAAAGAGGGACGCACGGAGUUUUAAACUCCCUUUCACUGGAAGAAGGAGUAGGGCCAGAGACAACAGGGUUGGAAUUUCCAAAAUGGUACUUUUAGAUUUAAUUUGAAGCCAGUACUUACAGAUAGUGAAAAGUUUAACAGGCUUUUUUUUUUUUUCUUCACAUUUUCCUAUGUAGGAAAAAAAAAGGGGAGGUGGGGGGGGAUUCACUCAUUCGACUAGCACCAGAGAAAUAGUAGGUUGACUUUAUUUCCACAAUGUAUGAUAUGCUAUAUGAUAUGUUAUAUGGCUGAAUUUCAGGGGCAAAAUGAAUGUACCUUUUCAAUGGAUUUACAAUAAGGAAAUCACUUAAUAAAGGGAACUGAUGGUCCAAUGAAUUAAAUCACCUGCGGUGACAUGCAGUGCGCACUCUGGCCUCUGACAGAGCUCUCCUUGUUCUGUGACUCUGCUCUGUAACAUCUUCUUCUCCGUCUCAUUUCCCGAUGGCUUCAGUGAUUAUGCCUGAAUGUAUGGCCUUCUCAUUUCCUUAAAAGACCGGCCUAUAUGUGUGAUCUUUUACUAAUCAUCCUACAGAGAAGUAGGAUCCUGAGCAAAGGAAGGAAGGUCCUUUGCUCAAUGGCUGGCUUUCCUUCAGUUGUCAGUCACCCAGGACUCUGUUGUGGUCUGUCUUCAUCUUUGUUCUGUAAUACAUGUGUGUUCAGAAAGACAAUGGGGUCCUAUAUUAUUCUGGAUGUUAGAAACUCCUUAAAUUACUAUUCCACUGUUGUGUGCCCAUCUUGCUCUAUAAAGGAAAAAACAAAACCCUAGAGAUUCAGUAACAGGUUUUCCUUAUGUUACUAAAAGAAUGAUCACCAAAAUAAAUCUAAGUAAAUCAGUAGACAGUUUCCAGGCUUAUUCAGAAACUUUGCUUAAUAUUUAAGAUUCUUUAAUUUUUGUGUUUCUUUCUGCAGAUGGGUAUGGAAACAGAAUCAAAAUGCCAUUUAGUUUGUCAUUAGUACACAGAACUUGGUGCUUAUAUAACGAGUGCAUUGAUAUAUUUCUUUAUUGCAACUAUAUAUAUAUAUAUAUAUAUAUAUAUAGUUAUCGCAUGUCAGAGUUUCUACAGAAAAUUUAGGUUUGGUGUUUGUUUUAGACACUUUAAUGAUAGGAACCUCUUUAAAUUUGCUGAUAUAAAAUCCUGUUGGACUGAAAAACUAAUUAUGACAUGCCCACUAAAUCUGUUACCUUUUACUUUAGUUUUAAAAACUUUUGGCAUUUAACAAUAUUAAAGCCCAGCAAAACAAUGGUUCAUUUGAGUUAGUACUUUGAAUUUUUAUAUACUAAUCUAGUGUAUCUUUGACAUUGAGCCUGAAAAAUAAGCUUAGUUUAUUUGAAUGUGGUUAAGAAAGGGUUCAUAGCAUUUUAUACAAACUUCUCAGCACUUACAAAAACAAUUUAUCAAAAGAACAAAGGGGGAAAAACCUUUUUUUAUUAACUCUUUCCCUCUUAGUCCUGUAAUUCAAAUGAUAGAUACAUUUCAGCUUCAAAUGCGGUAAAAUGAAAUAUUUAAUGUAUAGAUAUGAUUAUUUUAUUUAUUUAUUUAUUUUACAAUCUCUUCACUUUACAUAUUUAGCCAUGGUUUGGAUGGAUUUUGACAUGGAUAUAAUUAAUGUUUAUUUUUUUCUUGAUUCUAAUCAAGUCAAUUUUCAUUUGGUGUGUUUGAAGUACAGAAUUCCCUAACAAACUUAUGAGGUAUAAUAAUACCUUAAAUUCCUUGUUUUUGCUCAGGGUUUAUAUCUAAUAGUAACAACUGCAUUUUUAAAGGGCAAAUACAACCUUGUCCCUCAUAAGAGCUGGACACAGACUGGUUAUAGCUGCAGUGUGCCUGCCCUGAGUUUAAGAACAAGGCUGAAUGCCAUGAAGGAAGGAUUUGAACUCUGCAUUCCUGGCUCUAUCUCAGACAGUUCCAGAAGUGACUCUGCAGAAAGCAGGAGGACCUGACAGGCUCUGGACGUGGGCUGAGCUGCAGGCUUAUUUAUUAUUGUUUUCUUCCCCCUUGCUUUGGUUGUUUUUUUCUCCUUGAUGUUUCCUUCAGGUGAAAGCUCUUAUGCAUAAUUUAUCUAUAGGUAUUCCUUUAAAGAAACAGUCUCCUAGUAGAAAAUAAUCAUCUUUUUCUUGUUAGAAAUUAUCAACUGAAUCAUGAUACAAGGGAGUGGUUUAAGAGGAGUUCGCCAUUUUGACGAUGGUUCAGGUCACCUCAAUAGUAUCUCCCUCCUUUGUGCAGCCGUGAGUGCGCAAUCGUACUAUCUGAUGGCUAAAUCCCUUCCUCUGCCCUUACUUAACUUACAUCAAGUUUUUCUAUGCUUUUCAUUUAUUAUGUCAGUAUAGUGGAAUCUGCCAUUUUACUCUGAUUUUAAGUCAUAAUUUAAUAUCAAUAUGUACCUGAUGCAAUUAUAGC